rnacentral:rRNA from 1 species
GAGUUUGAUCCUGGCUCAGAGCGAACGUUAGCGGCGGGCCUAACACAUGCAAGUCGAACGGGCAGUAGCAAUACUGUCAGUGGCGCACGGGUGAGUAACGCGUAGAUAAUCUACCUUCCAGCGGGGGAUAACGUUCCGAAAGGAACGCUAAUACCGCAUAAGACCACGGGUUCUUCGGGGCCUGCGGGAAAAGGUGGCCUCUCCUUGGAAGCUAUCACUGGAAGAUGAGUCUGCGUCCCAUCAGCUAGUUGGUGAGGUAAUGGCUCACCAAGGCAAAGACGGGUAGCUGGUCUGAGAGGAUGAUCAGCCACACUGGUACUGGAACACGGACCAGACUCCUACGGGAGGCAGCAGUGGGGAAUAUUGGACAAUGGGGGCAACCCUGAUCCAGCCAUGCCGCGUGAGUGAAGAAGGCCUUC